AAACUUUCAACAACGGAUCUCUUGGUUCUGGCAUCGAUGAAGAACGCAGCGAAAUGCGAUAAGUAAUGUGAAUUGCAGAAUUCAGUG
rnacentral:rRNA from 1 species